GGCCCCGCGCCUCACCUGGCCCGGGGAUCGAGACCGGUAUCGAUCAGGGAGGGGGGCGCGGGCUGGGCCCGAGUCUCUUUCUUUAAACUGUGGGAGCAAGAUCAGGACUUUUGUUAACCACAUAUGGUACGUUUCCUCUCCAUCGAAGAAAAUCAAGGGUCAAUGCUGAGCUUUACUGUGCAUAUUUAAUAUUCCUUUGAAGACUUGGAGGAAGGGGAGGAGGUGUUAUCUCUGCUGCUUGGGAGUGUCAGAUGAAUUAAUGUCAAGGAGCUGGCCCUGUCCAUCCACUUUAGCCGGUUUGUUUGUUCCCAUGCAGCGCACCUUGAGUUCCACAAUGCAAAGAAGGCAUGUGAUCUUUGACAGGCUGUUUGGAGUCAGAAGAAACAUAUGCAUAUUAGGCAUCUGAUCCAGCACCUCUUUAAAUCAAUGGCAAAACUCCCAUUGACUUCAAUAGUGCAGUAUCAGGACCACUAGUCCUGUUUCUUAGCAUGGAGAAUAUUAUCGAACCUAAUAGGAUGUGUAACUUGGCAUCUCUGAUUCUGGGCCUCCAUUUCUUUCCACAGUCAUGAAAUCUCUGUAUAUAUCAUGCAUAAGCAAUAAACUUUAAAUUAGA